ensembl:lncRNA
CUGAUAAUGACGUUACGUUUCAAAGAGAGGAAAGGGGGAGAAAAAUCAUAAAGAGCCCAAACAAAACAGCCCGCUCUGUCCUCCUGCCACCUCCAGCUCAGCCCCAAGGAAAACUUAUUGGCCUGGCUGAGGGGGAGCUGGUGCGGGCCGGAGCCCGACGCUGACCAUUCUGUGAUAGACAAAGAGAUCCCAGCCCGGAGCGGGCUCUGUUCCACCGCGACUCUCCUCCAAGCUCAUUUCACUCCCUAAAUCUGCGCUGCGGACAUAUAGGGGCACAGGAUCUGCAUAAUUACAGCCACAGCCGCUCCCCUUUUUAAUAAAGCGACAUAAUUCUCUAAUAAACGUCCCCUUUCCCCCCACCUCCUCCUCUCCCCAGACCCCAGCCCAAGGGAAAGGGGAUCCGUGUCUUUUGACUGCGUUCCCUAAGUCUAUAGAUGAGCUCAGUUUGAAACGAGGUAUUACAAGAUUGCAGCGUUACAGACCCUUUAUCUGAGGCACAGACACUUUCAGAUCCCCAGCCCCCACCGCCUCUCCUUUUUGUUGUCUCUUCUCCUCCCGGGGGCUAUUUGACAAAGGCACUGUGUUAACUAACAUUUUUGUUUAACUCAGCAACUUCUUUUCAAAACAUACUUAAACCUGAUAGCAAUCUCUUGUACUUUUUUUUUUUUUAUUUCUUUUCCUUCCCCGAGAUGAAAUUGACUCUGAACCCAAGGCGUUUGGCUCUUAUUAAUUAUUUCUUUCUUUGCAGGCGGGAACGCUCACUUUGACAUCGCCCUCUAAAUUAAGUUACCGCUUAUUAGCAGAAAAUAAGUAUGUAAAUACCUAUGAUACUCCUGAAACGGGGGGAACAAACGUGUGCCUCCACGCCAAGGCGUGGGUAUGGGGACCCUGAACCUUUUAAUUUAAGCGGCUCGCCUGGCUCGCAGUGCACUUCCCAGAUUACAGCAAAAUUCUGCGAGCAAUAAUGUAUUUGAGCAUUUAAGUGAAAGAACACAAUUUAUUUAGGGGUGGAGGGUGGGGAGCUGCAAGCCGGAGAAAUGCAGCAAUCAGAGCUUGUGGCAUUCUGGCUGCGCGAAGAGGAAGUGUUGCUGUAACGGGUAUUAUGUUUAUUUGAUAAAGAAAAUCAAUGAAAGUGGCUGUAAAGUAGUUAGUGAGGCGUGUGUUUGGGAGUCGGGUUGAAUAGUGACUCC